CUACGUGCCAGCAGCCGCGGUAAUACGUAGGGUGCGAGCGCUAAUCGGAAUUACUGGGCGUAAAGCGAGCGCAGACGGUUACUUAAGCAGGAUGUGAAAUCCCCGGGCUCAACCUGGGAACUGCGUUCUGAACUGGGUGACUAGAGUGUGUCAGAGGGAGGUAGAAUUCCACGUGUAGCAGUGAAAUGCGUAGAGAUGUGGAGGAAUACCGAUGGCGAAGGCAGCCUCCUGGGAUAACACUGACGUUCAUGCUCGAAAGCGUGGGUAGCAAACAGGAUUAGAUACCCUGGUAGUCCACGCCCUAAACGAUGUCAAUUAGCUGUUGGGCAACUUGAUUGCUUAGUAGCGUAGCUAACGCGUGAAAUUGACCGCCUGGGGAGUACGGUCGCAAGAUUAAAACUCAAAGGAAUUGACGGGGACCCGCACAAGCGGUGGAUGAUGUGGAUUAAUUCGAUGCAACGCGAAGAACCUUACCUGGUCUUGACAU
rnacentral:rRNA from 1 species